rnacentral:rRNA from 1 species
CCUACGGGAGGCAGCAGUGAGGAAUAUUGGUCAAUGGACGAGAGUCUGAACCAGCCAAGUAGCGUGAAGGAUGACUGCCCUAUGGGUUGUAAACUUCUUUUAUAUGGGAAUAAAAUGUUCCACGUGUGGGAUUUUGUAUGUACCAUAUGAAUAAGGAUCGGCUAACUCCGUGCCAGCAGCCGCGGUAAUACGGAGGAUCCGAGCGUUAUCCGGAUUUAUUGGGUUUAAAGGGGGCGUAGGUGGAUUGUUAAGUCAGUUGUGAAAGUUUGCGGCUCAACCGUAAAAUUGCAGUUGAAACUGGCAGUCUUGAGUACAGUAGAGGUGGGCGGAAUGCGUGGUGUAGCGGUGAAAUGCUUAGAUAUCACGAAGAACUCCGAUUGCGAAGGCAGUUCACUGGACUGCAACUGACACUGAGGCUCGAAAGUGUGGGUAUCAAACAGGAUUAGAUACCCGUGUAGUC